rnacentral:rRNA from 1 species
AAGGUGGGGAGUGACGUCAAGUCCUCAUGGCCUUUAUGCCCAGGGCUACGACACGUGCUACAAUGGGUGGUACAAAGAGAGGCAAGCUCGCGAGAGUAAGCAAAAUCUCAAAAAGCCAUCCUCAGUUCGGAUUGGAGUCUGCAACUCGACCCCAUGAAGUCGGAAUCGCUAGUAAUCGCGGAUCAGCAUGCCGCGGUGAAUACGUUCCCGGGCCUU